GUCGUUUUGUUGCCGUAAGAGCAACGCGUUGAAGGUUCCGCGCUUUCGGUUGAGCAUGUUGCGACAGUGAACGUAGCCGGCAAAAUGCACGCGUUGUUCGGUGAACAGAGCCCCUAUGCGUACCGCGGAGGAGCCGCUGGAGGCUACUCAGCAGGUGUGACGCCAUAUGCUUAUGAACAAUAUCGCUACGGAUAUGGAGCCCCCUACCUUCAUCCUCAUCAACAACAUGUUGGCGCCCCAAAAGAUAUGGUAAAGCCACCCUACUCCUAUAUCGCCUUGAUAGCGAUGGCCAUACAAAACGCUCCUGAAAGACGCAUAACACUAAACGGUAUUUAUCAAUUUAUAAUGGAACGCUUUCCCUACUACAGAGAAAACAAACAAGGUUGGCAGAACUCCAUACGACAUAAUCUAAGUCUCAAUGAGUGCUUCGUGAAAGUGGCAAGAGACGAUAAAAAACCCGGUAAAGGAAGUUACUGGACACUAGAUCCCGAUUCAUAUAAUAUGUUUGAUAACGGUUCAUACUUGCGCCGGCGGCGUCGCUUCAAAAAGAAAGAUGCGCUUAGAGAGAAAGAAGAAGCACUAAAGAGACAGCAGCAAAUGCAUCAAGCUCAAGAAGCACUGAGCGCACAGGAAGCGCUUAGUGCUGCGGAUGCGCUUGGACCACAACGUGACGUAAAGCCUGACGUUAAACCUCGCAUUUUCGAGUGUCGGCCGAAACGAGAACCGGGCGCAGAUUGUGCGCGAUAUGACAAACCAGUGGAUACUCUUGACGACUUCAGUGAACCGCGACUUCCAGCUUCAGCCGUCUACUGUUCGCCGCAACCGUACUCACUGGUAGCUGAAGAAUUUCGUGCCGCCACGUCCGGAUGGUACGCAGCACCCGAACCUCCAACCGAGCAACUACCGCCAGCAUUCCGCGAUCUGUUCGAGCCGCCAAGCUGUCAGUUGGCCGGCUUCCGCAGCGGUUCUCCCGUACCAGACGCAUACCGGGCGUCGCCACCGCCACAUCACCACUACCGCACGCCCGCACCCUCAUACUAUCAUCAUCAAGCGUGCGUCGCCGCCGCUCCUGCGCCAGCACACAAGUCCUACUGAGACCAUGCCCUCAGGAGGCCGGCAUCGCUCGGCGCCGAACGGAUUUAGCCGCACGCGUCAGUUCCAGAGCGGAUAAAUAUAGCGCAGUUGCCGGAGAUGCCGUGGAGGCAAGUGGCGGCGCGUCGAUAACCACUGUUCAGAUCGGCGGCCGACCCUGCCGCCUCCCGCUCCGUUAACACCUAUAGGUUUAGCGGAACCAGAAUACAGCGGGAGGCUGAGUGCAGGGGUGACGCAAAUAUUUAACGUGUCUGGAAGAUAUGGCCACUUAGUGUCGUAAGAACUAUGAUGUAUUAAGCGUGGUGCACAACUUUUAGCAAAUGUUUAUAAUUUAUAUUGUUCAAGCUAUCGUCUAUGUAUCUCCGCAGGAGAUAUCAUCAAAUGAUAGUGUCCGAAGACUUAAUUUAGUAUGUAUAUUCGUAUUCGUUUACCUAUGAACUUAAUAUAAUAAAUAGUUAAGACGAAAUCCGAUAAUUCCGAAAUAAUGUAGCGUUCAAUAAAUUGAUAUAGGUGCGUAGGCCAAGGCACAACAAAAUUUCAGUAUUAUUCACUAAAUCAGUAUUAUGUACCUGCAUGCAUGUACGUAUCACUCGGUCUCCAGAAAAUAUUGUUAGAUGAAAAUGUAAAUAUUUAGUUUUAAGUAAGUAUAAUACUUAAUUGUUCUAUAAAGCGUAGAUUUCCCCUGUCAAGAAAUAAAGUGUUUGUGAAAAUAAGUACAGGGGAUGUGCUGUUAUUCUAGUCUGCUACGUUAAGCAAAAUAUUUGUAAAAUAGACACCUUAACUGGAAAAUAAUAUUGAUUACGUUUUAUGUAUGUUGGGCGAUACCGGCGAUAGAAGAUGACACUUAUUUUGAAUGAUUUGUCUUGUUCUCAUUAGUCGCAAAACGACGAUUUUUACUCAGCUUGACAUUGCAAUCGUGCAGAAAGUUGCAGUUAAUGUAUCAACUUCUUGAGUAGGUAUAUUAUGUAGAUACGU